CCUGCCCCGAGAGGCUGUGCAGGUGCGGCUGCUGUGAGUGGCUGCUGUGGGUCCGUAGGUGGCAGAGAGGAGGGAGGUGUGUCUAUGCUCUGCGUUCUACCUGUGAACAUCUGAAUAAUGAGUAGCCUAGCAGU